rnacentral:rRNA from 1 species
AGUGAACGCUGGCGGUAGGCCUAACACAUGCAAGUCGAACGGCAGCACAGUAAGAGCUUGCUCUUACGGGUGGCGAGUGGCGGACGGGUGAGGAAUACAUCGGAAUCUACUUUUUCGUGGGGGAUAACGUAGGGAAACUUACGCUAAUACCGCAUACGACCUACGGGUGAAAGCAGGGGAUCUUCGGACCUUGCGCGAUUGAAUGAGCCGAUGUCGCAUUAGCUAGUUGGCGGGGUAAAGGCCCACCAAGGCGACGAUCCGUAGCUGGUCUGAGAGGAUGAUCAGCCACACUGGAACUGAGACACGGUCCAGACUCCUACGGGAGGCAGCAGUGGGGAAUAUUGGACAAUGGGCGCAAGCCUGAUCCAGCCAUACCGCGUGAGUGAAGAAGGCCUUCGGGUUGUAAAGCCCUGUUGUUGGGAAAGAAAAGCAGCAGGUUAAAACCCCGCUGUUCUGACGGUACCCAAAGAAUAAGCACCGGCUAACUUCGUG